CAAACAAGCGGUAAAACGAACAAAAGCAAAAAAGGGCGGAAAAAAGAAGAAGAAGAAGAAGAAACCCUGCUAGGGUUUUUAUUUUCAACCCAAUUGAAUUGACGGGAUGAUAAUCCCCUAAUUCCCAUCCCCUCUAAUUCCUAUUACUUUCAUACUUAUCCAUUUUCCCUCGGAUUUCUCCUCCCCCGAAAGAUUAUGUCUGGAAGAAAUCGAGGACCCCCCAUCCCACUAAAUGGUGUGCCUCAUGGUGGACUACCACCAGUUCGUGAACCUCCUUUUGCUAGAGGUCUUGGGCCAUUGCCACAUCCAGUGCUUCUUGAGGAAAUCAGGGAAUCACAGUAUGGGAUGCAUCCAGUGUCUCUUCCUCCACACCCUGCGAUAAUCGAGGAGCGUCUUGCUGCCCAACAUCAAGAUAUUCAAGGUCUUCUUCUUGACAACCAGAGGCUAGCUGCAACCCAUGUUGCGCUUAAGCAAGAACUAGAAGCAGCUCAGCAUGAGUUGCAACGCAUGGCUCAUGUUGCCGAUUCCUUACAUGCAGAAAGGGACAUUCAGAUGAGAGAAUUAUAUGAAAAGUCAGUAAGACUAGAGGUUGAUAUGCGAGGAGUUGAGACUAUGCGAGCAGAGCUUCUUCAAGUUCAUUCUGAUGUCAAGGAAUUAACUGCUGCAAGGCAGGAGCUUAAUGGGCAAGUACAAGCAAUGACACAAGAUCUAACUAGAAUUACUGCAGAUUUGCAGCAGGUCCCUGCUUUGAGGGGAGAGAUUGAAACUGUGAAGCAGGAAUUACAUCGUGCUAGAGUUGCAAUUGAGUAUGAAAAGAAGGGAUAUGCGGAGAAUUAUGAACACGGUCAGGUUAUGGAGAAGAAACUGGUUUCAAUGGCAAGGGAAUUGGAGAAACUUAGAGCUGAGGUUGCUAAUGCAGAGAAGAGAGCUCAUGCUUCUGCUGCUGUUGGUGGAAAUGCUGCUGCUGGGUAUGGAGCAAAUUAUGGCAAUGCUGAUGCUGGAUACGGGGGAAAUCCAUAUUCUACCAAUUAUGGCUUGAACUCCGUGCAGUCUGGUACUGAAGGUUAUCCUCCGUAUGGACCUGGAUCUGUUCCCUGGGGUGCGUAUGACAUACAACGGGCUCAAGGACAUAGAUAGAAUGAUGCAUGAUAUCCUGCUAAGAUGUUUCUUGCAGAGGGAUUGAGGUUCAAAUCACAAAGCAUUGAUAAUUAGGUUGUGGUGCCAAAUAAAAAGAUGGUGGCUCUCUAGAUUAAGUAAUGUGAUAACCCUCCCAAGGGCAGCAAGCCAAGAAAUGAUCCGAGUUGUUUUCAACAUCCAAAAUUUAGAGAAUAAAUGAUGGCACGAAAAAGAAUAAUAAACCAACUUUAGAGGAGUUAGGAGUGACCCUUGGGUUGUUUGGUCCCUUGCUAGGAUUCCGUGAUUCCCUGUGGAGGUCAGUGAUGAAAUCCUUUUGCAAUUAUUGGUUAGGUGAGGUCUUUACUUGAUUGGAGUCCCUUUAUCAAGCAAGAUUUUCUUUUGUGGCCUUCUUUUUUAAAGUUAUUAUUUGUUUUAUAAUGUCCUUGUAUUUUCUCACGUAUACAUUUUUUCCUCAAUCGAAGAUUAGAUCUUCAUUAUAAAAAGGAAAAAAAGUAAACCAACUAGGUGCAUGUAAGGCAUACUACUUGGUUCUAAUAAAUUUCAAAAACAUGUAUAAAUUCCUCGCUGUGGGAGACCUUUGAAAUGUGCAUGCAAGACAUACUACUCACCAUUGUAAUUUAUGAAGUUAGGGCAAACGUUGUCUCUGCAACUGAUGGCGUGCAAGUAAGCAGGAGCCACAUUGUUCCCAUCUCAUUCUGUAAUUUCUCCAUUCUGAUCUGCUGGUUAGAAAGAAUUUGGCUACAUUUAUUUGUUUCCUGGUUUGGUGUAGUAAAGGUCCGCAACAGUCAGAUUUACAUGUAAUGGUUGGAGUAUAAUUUUUUUGGUUCAAUUUUUGGAUCUAGAUUUCAUCCUUUUAUUUUGGUUAGAUUUUUUUUCUUUAACUGAUAUUGCUUCCUAUUCUUCCUAUAAUGUAGUUUUUCCCCUGAUGUCUCUAGCUUUAAAAUCUACAUUCCACUCCCAUCCUUUCUGAUGUAGUACGAUUUGGAUAUUAUGGUCAAAUCCUUAAUUUAUUAGGAUUACGAUUAGUUUCUUUGAUUUAUCAGGAUUCAGAUCUAGUUUAUUUGGUUUAUUAGGAUUAGAUUAGUUUCUUUUAUUAAUUAUUAAUUAUGAUUAGGAUUUGUUUCUUUGAUUAGGAUUAGGAUCAGAAUUUGUUUCUUUUAUUAAUUAUAAUUGCAAUUAGUUUCUUUUAUAAAUUAGGAUUAGGAUUAGUUUGCUUUUCAACUCUUUGUAAAUAGAUUACUUGUUUUCUUGUAUUUAUAACUUUUUAUUCAUCUGAAUAAAAUUCUCUCUUGAUAUUCACCACUUUCUUUUUAAGAUGUCUUGGAAGAUUGGCAUUUCAAUAGAGAUGCAAUGGCCGUUGGAUUUUGUGGAGGGGUGAUUGCUUCUCAACCUUUUGAAGAAUCACCUAUGGGUAUUAAGUACCUCACAAGUUUCUAGAAUAUGAUAUAUUGUCUUGUUGAGACGUUAUCUCAUUUUUUAUUCUGGUGGUGGUCAAAAGGUGAAACUUUCAAGUAUUCAGAUUUCACAUAAACAGAGAGAGUAGGUGCAGAUGAUUUCGAAUGGAAUGAAGGACAUGUUUUUUUCC